AUAAUUUGUUAAAAGUACACAAUAUACAUAACUCGCGAAUAUGAGGUAACCCCACCACCUCUUUUGGAUCAACAUCGUCGUCCUCAUGGUUUCUUCCGCAGCUCUUUUGCUCUUCUCCAUUGGCCGCGGCACAAUGAACCUUUUUUGCCAAAGAGCUUCCUCAACAGUGGCCUCCUUGUCAUGCGAAUUUUCAAAGCCACCAGACACCUCUAAAGGGAAAUUUAUAAUUUGCAUCAUGUACACUUUAUCGCGGGAGAAAUUAUUAGGAGAAAAAGUGAUACGUAAUGACUCUACUCUAGAUCCUUAUUCAGGGCGCAGAGUAUCACUCGUAUCGAGGCAAUGUUGAUGUUGACCGUGACACGCGUAACACCCUGGCUGAGUGUCGCGCAUUGUAAAAAAAUCUCGUGUUUCAUCGCCAGAAGCACACGCAACGUCCCGAAGUUAGCCGUUAGCGUCUUAUUACACAGCCGCGUCUUCGAACCCGAAGUGGCACUUUUUUGUCGUAAUGACGAGCAUGUGCUUGGUCUGCUUGUAAUAGAACGCCAGGCAAACGAAGACGGCGUAUGAUGAUGCGUAUCGACAUAAAAAGCGGACAAUUUGACAAUUCACGAGGGAAAAAAAGGGCGAAUGGUUAACGCGGCUCGUAGGGGUUUCGGAGCAAAGUUUAUUUGAUC